rnacentral:rRNA from 1 species
UACGUAGGGGGGCGAGCGUUGUCCGGAAUCAUUGGGCGUAAAGCGCGUGUAGGCGGCCCGGUAAGUCCGCUGUGAAAGUCCAGGGCUCAACCCUGGGAUGCCGGUGGAUACUGUCGGGCUCGAGUCCGGAAGAGGCGAGUGGAAUUCCUGGUGUAGCGGUGAAAUGCGCAGAUAUCAGGAGGAACACCGGUGGCGAAGGCGGGUCUCUAGGCCGAUACUGACGUGAGGAGCGAAAGCGUGGGGAGCAACAGG